rnacentral:tRNA from 2 species
GGCUCUGUGGCUUAGUUGGUUAAAGCGCCUGUCUAGUAAACAGGAGAUCCUGGGUUCGACUCCCAGCGGGGCCU